UAAAAAACUUCAUGCAAAAAAUAUAAAUGAAAAAUCUUCAUUGUACACAUCAUCUCAAUCGAAAUGCACAUCAAGUUGACAAAAACAUUGCACUUUGAUUCCUUAAUACAAUUGACAUCAAAACCAUCAAACUAACUUUUGAACUAAUUAUCAUCCAUUGUUAGAUGUAACUUUCCACCAAAUUCUACAAAAUAAAAAGUUAGACAUGUUAGAUGAUUGCAAAUGCUUUAAUUAAUAAAUCACAAAAUAAAAUAUGCAAGUUUA